CCUGGACUUCAAGAGAGAAAACACAGAAUGUACAUGGAGCCAAGAACAACUUGGAGACUCAGUGAAAUACUCAAGGUUGCUCUAACCGGCGCUUACCUGUCACUUGGGGGUUAAUGGUGGGAUUUCACCCCCCUUUCGAAGAGGGGUGUGGGUCUGCCAUGCCAGCUGGUGCAGCUCCUCCAUGGUGUACUGACAUGUCUCCAAAUGGGACUUAAUGAUGUUCUGUGCAAUUCGAUCUGUGAGAAAGAAGACCACUUUGAGGGUUUGUGAAUAAAAUCCCACUCUGCUGAAGGACGGGGAAGGCCAUGGCACCCCACUCCAGUACUCUUGCCUGGAAAAUCCCAUGGACAGAGAAGCCUGGGAGGCUGCAGUCCACGGGGUUGGGAAGAGUUGGACACGACUGAAGUAGCAGCAACAGCAGGAGCUGCUGAAGGAAACCUGCUGUUAAUGUGUUUCCUGAAGGAAUGCAUUUUGAAGAUACUCCACUUGUAUGAACAUAUCUUUAACACUACUAUCUAUUUACACAUCUCCAGACAAACUCUUUAUUGUUUUCCCCCCCAAUAUCAUGCUUUUAAUAAAAAUUAACUGCCUUCUCCUCCUCUUUUUGGUCACAAAAUUGGGGUCUUAAAGUUAUAGUGUUCAAAUAAAUAUUUAUUUUUGAAAUAGAUACAAAUUACCAUGUUUCUUGCUUUUUGGCCUGAAAGUCUGCUAGCAGUCCUGUAACAUUUGCUAUACUGUAACAGUCGGCUUAAGCUCCAAAUACUUUAAAAUAUUUUGAAAAUCACUAGAUCACCAGUGUUUAUCUCAGAAAGGAGAAGUUGAAAUAUAAA